rnacentral:rRNA from 1 species
GCAACCCUGGUGGCGAGUGGCGAACGGGUGAGUAACAUAUCGGAACGUGCCCUGGAGUGGGGGAUAACUAGUCGAAAGAUUAGCUAAUACCGCAUACGAUCUACGGAUGAAAGUGGGGGAUCGCAAGACCUCAUGCUCGUGGAGCGGCCGAUAUCUGAUUAGCUAGUUGGUGGGGUAAAGGCCUACCAAGGCAUCGAUCAGUAGCUGGUCUGAGAGGACGACCAGCCACACUGGGACUGAGACACGGCCCAGACUCCUACGGGAGGCAGCAGUGGGGAAUUUUGGACAAUGGGCGCAAGCCUGAUCCAGCAAUGCCGCGUGAGUGAAGAAGGCCUUCGGGUUGUAAAGCUCUUUUGUCAGGGAAGAAACGGNGNGGGCUAAUAUCCCUUGCUAAUGACGGUACCUGAAGAAUAAGCACCGGCUAACUACGUGCCAGCAGCCGCGGUAAUACGUAGGGUGCAAGCGUUAAUCGGAAUUACUGGGCGUAAAGCGUGCGCAGGCGGUUGUGCAAGACCGAUGUGAAAUCCCCGGGCUUAACCUGGGAAUGGCAUUGGUGACUGCACGGCUAGAGUGUGUCAGAGGGGGGUAGAAUUCCACGUGUAGCAGUGAAAUGCGUAGAGAUGUGGAGGAAUACCGAUGGCGAA